AUGGCUGGAUCACACAAUGAUAUCAACGUGCUUCAGCGCUCGCCGGUGUUUGCUAGGCUUGCCGAAGGCAACAGCCCACCGGUGAACUUUAUUGUCAACGGCCACAACUACGACAAAGGGUACAAUUUGGGUGACGGUAUCUAUCCUCAGUGGACCACUAUUGUAAAGACAAUACCCAACCCUGUUGGAGAGAAAAGAAAAAGAUUUGCCCAAGAGCAAGAGAGUGCUAAAAAGGAUGUCGAGUGUGCCUUUGGUGUUUUGCAAUCUCGAUGGGACAUCGUUCGGUAUCCUGCUAAUACUUGG
rnacentral:rRNA from 1 species